AUUGAACGCUGGCGGCAGGCUUAACACAUGCAAGUCGAGCGGGGGACGUUGCUUCGGUAACUGACCUAGCGGCGGACGGGUGAGUAAUGAUUAGGAAUCUGCCUAUUAGUGGGGGACAACAUUCCGAAAGGGAUGCUAAUACCGCAUAUGCCCUACGGGGGAAAGCAGGGGAUCAUCGGACCUGGCGCUAAAAGCUGAGCCUAAGUCGGAUUAGCUAGUUGGUGGGAUAAAGGCCUACGAAGGCGACGAUCUGUAGCGGGUCUGAGAGGAUGGUCCGCCACACUGGGACGGGAAAACGGCCCAGACUCCUACGGGAGGGAGCAGUGUGGAAUAUUGGACAAUGGGCGGAAGCCUGAUCCAGCCAUGCCGCGUGUGUGAAGAAGGCCUUUUGGUUGUAAAGCGCUUUAAGCGAGGAGGAGGCUCUUAAGGUUAAUACCCUUGAUGAGUGGACAUUACUCGCAGAAUAAGCGCCGGCUAACUCUGUGCCAGCCGCCGCAGUAAAAC
rnacentral:rRNA from 1 species